rnacentral:rRNA from 1 species
GACGAGCUCUCCAAACGUUAUUCGGUAUCACUGGGCUUAAAGAGUUCGUAGGCGGUCUGGUAGGUGAGGUGUGAAAUCCCCCCGGCUCAACCGGGGGAACUGCGCUUCAAACCGCCGGACUUGAGGGAGACAGAGGUGGGCGGAACAAGCGGUGGAGCGGUGAAAUGCGUAGAUAUCGCUUGGAACGCCGAAGGUGAAAACAGGCUGCUGGGGUUGCGC